rnacentral:rRNA from 1 species
AAUCCAUAGGUUAAUGAGGCGAACCGGGGGAACUGAAACAUCUAAGUACCCCGAGGAAAAGAAAUCAACCGAGAUUCCCCCAGUAGCGGCGAGCGAACGGGGAGGAGCCCAGAGCCUGAAUCAGCAUGUGUGUUAGUGGAAGCGUCUGGAAAGGCGCGCGAUACAGGGUGACAGCCCCGUACACAAAAGCGCAUGUGCUGUGAGCUCGAUGAGUAGGGCGGGACACGUGGUAUCCUGUCUGAAUAUGGGGGGACCAUCCUCCAAGGCUAAAUACUCCUGACUGACCGAUAGUGAACCAGUACCGUGAGGGAAAGGCGAAAAGAACCCCGGCGAGGGGAGUGAAAAAGAACCUGAAACCGUGUACGUACAAGCAGUGGGAGCACAGGUUUACCUGUGUGACUGCGUACCUUUUGUAUAAUGGGUCAGCGACUUAUAUUCUGUAGCAAGGUUAACCGAAUAGGGGAGCCGGAGGGAAACCGAGUCUUAAUUGGGCGUUAAGUUGCAGGGUAUAGACCCGAAACCCGGUGAUCUAGCCAUGGGCAGGUUGAAGGUUGGGUAACACUAACUGGAGGACCGAACCGACUAAUGUUGAAAAAUUAGCGGAUGACCUGUGGCUGGGGGUGAAAGGCCAAUCAAACCGGGAGAUAGCUGGUUCUCCCCGAAAGCUAUUUAGGUAGCGCCUCGUGAAUUCAUCUCCGGGGGUAGAGCACUGUUUCGGCUAGGGGGCCAUCCCGGCUUACCAACCCGAUGCAAACUGCGAAUACCGGAGAAUGUUAUCACGGGAGACACACGGCGGGUGCUAACGUCCGUCGUGAAGAGGGAAACAACCCAGACCGCCAGCUAAGGUCCCAAAGUCAUGGUUAAGUGGGAAACGAUGUGGGAAGGCCCAGACAGCCAGGAUGUUGGCUUAGAAGCAGCCAUCAUUUAAAGAAAGCGUAAUAGCUCACUGGUCGAGUCGGCCUGCGCGGAAGAUGUAACGGGGCUAAACCAUGCACCGAAGCUGCGGCAGCGAACGUAUCACCCAAGACAACUUUACGGAGUUGACGAUUGACGGAGCGAAGCGACGUCAAAGCGUUCAUUAAAGUCGAGUUGGCUUAGGGAUACGUUCGUUGGGUAGGGGAGCGUUCUGUAAGCCUGUGAAGGUGUGUCGUGAGGCAUGCUGGAGGUAUCAGAAGUGCGAAUGCUGACAUAAGUAACGAUAAAGCGGGUGAAAAGCCCGCUCGCCGGAAGACCAAGGGUUCCUGUCCAACGUUAAUCGGGGCAGGGUGAGUCGACCCCUAAGGCGAGGCCGAAAGGCGUAGUCGAUGGGAAACGGGUUAAUAUUCCCGUACUUGGUGUUACUGCGAAGGGGGGACGGAGAAGGCUAUGUUGGCCGGGCGACGGUUGUCCCGGUUUAAGCGUGUAGGUGUGUGUUCCAGGUAAAUCCGGUUCACUUUAACACUGAGGCGUGACGACGAGGCACUACGGUGCUGAAGCAACAAAUGCCCUGCUUCCAGGAAAAGCCUCUAAGCAUCAGGUAACAUCAAAUCGUACCCCAAACCGACACAGGUGGUCAGGUAGAGAAUACCAAGGCGCUUGAGAGAACUCGGGUGAAGGAACUAGGCAAAAUGGUGCCGUAACUUCGGGAGAAGGCACGCUGACACGUAGGUGAAGUGAUUUACUCAUGGAGCUGAAGUCAGUCGAAGAUACCAGCUGGCUGCAACUGUUUAUUAAAAACACAGCACUGUGCAAACACGAAAGUGGACGUAUACGGUGUGACGCCUGCCCGGUGCCGGAAGGUUAAUUGAUGGGGUCAGCGCAAGCGAAGCUCCUGAUCGAAGCCCCGGUAAACGGCGGCCGUAACUAUAACGGUCCUAAGGUAGCGAAAUUCCUUGUCGGGUAAGUUCCGACCUGCACGAAUGGCGUAAUGAUGGCCAGGCUGUCUCCACCCGAGACUCAGUGAAAUUGAACUCGCUGUGAAGAUGCAGUGUACCCGCGGCAAGACGGAAAGACCCCGUGAACCUUUACUAUAGCUUGACACUGAACAUUGAGCCUUGAUGUGUAGGAUAGGUGGGAGGCUUUGAAGUGUGGACGCCAGUCUGCAUGGAGCCGACCUUGAAAUACCACCCUUUAAUGUUUGAUGUUCUAACGUGGACCCGUAAUCCGGGUUGCGGACAGUGUCUGGUGGGUAGUUUGACUGGGGCGGUCUCCUCCUAAAGAGUAACGGAGGAGCACGAAGGUUGGCUAAUCCUGGUCGGACAUCAGGAGGUUAGUGCAAUGGCAUAAGCCAGCUUGACUGCGAGCGUGACGGCGCGAGCAGGUGCGAAAG